rnacentral:rRNA from 1 species
CGUAACAAGGUUUCCGUAGGUGAACCUGCGGAAGGAUCAUUACCUAGAGUUGUAGGCUUUGCCUGCUAUCUCUUACCCAUGUCUUUUGAGUACCUUCGUUUCCUCGGCGGGUCCGCCCGCCGAUUGGACAAUUUAAACCAUUUGCAGUUGCAAUCAGCGUCUGAAAAAACUUAAUAGUUACAACUUUCAACAACGGAUCUCUUGGUUCUGGCAUCGAUGAAGAACGCAGCGAAAUGCGAUAAGUAGUGUGAAUUGCAGAAUUCAGUGAAUCAUCGAAUCUUUGAACGCACAUUGCGCCCCUUGGUAUUCCAUGGGGCAUGCCUGUUCGAGCGUCAUUUGUACCUUCAAGCUCUGCUUGGUGUUGGGUGUUUGUCUCACCUCUGCGCGCAGACUCGCCUCAAAACAAUUGGCAGCCGGCGUAUUGAUUUCGGAGCGCAGUACAUCUCGCGCUUUGCACUCAUAACGACGACGUCCAAAAGUACAUUUUUACACUCUUGACCUCGGAUCAGGUAGGGAUACCCGCUGAACUUAAGCAUAUCA